GCAGCCUUUUCUAUUCUAGAAUUCAGCGAUUCCACUCUCUUUUUGAUAUCUGCUUUGGUCAUUGAAGGCAUACUGAAGAUAUCAUCUUUCAUUCCUCGAAUUUUACUAUUCUUUCCUUUCCGAAUUCCAACUAUUUUUGCACCAAACUCUCCAUCCUCAGGUGGGUAGUUUGCAAAUAAUUCUUGCAACACGAGUUUUGAUUCUUCUGAAAAAUUCAAACAUGUGAUAUUGUCCUUUGCCUUUGCAGUG
rnacentral:misc_RNA from 1 species